GAAAGAAACUGACGAUUAAUACACGGCAAGAUGUGUUGUGUUCGCACGCAUUUAAGUAAAAUAAUCACGCUUCCUAAAUGGCACGUCGUCACUUGGUUUGAUUGUAUCUCCCUUUGGCGGACCGCCUGUUCGAUUGGCUCGAGACGGCUAGUAAAUUCUCUUCGAACGUGUCUACCGUGAAAUCCUGCUCUUUGAUCAAUU